rnacentral:misc_RNA from 1 species
UGUCUGUACUUUCUCGAAGAAACGGCUUUGAUCGCAUCCCGAAAUUCGAUGCCUCAAAAUUCGUCGCUCGAGUCCAACAAUUUUACUGUUUGCUCUGUUUGAAACAGAGUUUUCGAUUUUCGUCGAAGGGUAGCACGAAAUUAGCCUCGGUUCGAGCGCGGUGGUAGCUUUCUGACAACGAACCGGUUAGUCGGAACUUUUACAGGUAAUUCGGUGAUAAGAAGAUGAGAGAGAAAUUUUUGUCGCUUAAAAAGGAACGAGGAGAUCCAAUUUCCGCCUGAUGAUUGGCCGAUUCAAUCGGUCGUGACGAUAAUAGAAUUCUUUGGUAACGUUUUUCCGUUCUUUUACGCGAACUUGGAAAGUCAUUGUUUUCUUGGAUCGAUACUUGCGGCUUUUGUUCGACCUCGAGUUAAGACGCGAGAAAAUAUCGGUGCUACUAAAAUACGGUCGUUUCCGUCUCACGGCAACCGUAUACAUUUUUCGUCGGAGAUGUCCUUUAAGGCGGUGGAUAAAAGAGAUCGAAAGAAACACCACCGCGAAAUGAUGGAAAGAAUUGUUCGCCCGGUGGUUCACACAGCGCGUCGAUUAUUCCCACUUUCUGACGUUUUCUUUCAAAGAUCUCUCGGCUGACGAGCACUGAUCUCCGCGUGCAUCGUUCCGACCACACACUCGUUCGCGGUUCCACACGACGACGCUAACGCCGAGGACGAGACACUGUGGUCGCCAGUCGCUAGUCGCUAGUCGAAUCUCGUGUGCUCCGCGCGUGUCGUGGAAAAACGUGUGUGCUUCCUGAUUAACUCGGCUGCACGGCAGAGCUGAAUUUUUCGCAAGUGCCGUGCCGGCGAAAACGUGCACCAGGGCCGUACGCGGCUCGUCACCGCACAGGGCGCUCGAUCGACACGCGCGUCUAUGGUUUUCCGAGGCGGCACCGUUCGUUGCUCGCCGAUUUUCCCGAUUUUCCCGAUCUGCCCGAUCUUCCCGAUCUUCGUUUCACUCGCGAUCCCCCGCGUCCAUAGGCAUUCACCGUGAUGCAAUUGGUCUGCGUUCGCAUGAAAUCCUGCUGCGGGAUAACCUGCGCGGUUAUAUCUUGGAUCUGGAUCUCGAUGCCGAUCUCCUCUCGACGAUACCCGGCGAUGUUCGAUUAUCAACGACGAAGAAAGGACGAGGCGUUUGAGGAAGCGGAGCUGCCA